rnacentral:rRNA from 1 species
UCCUUGGAACAGGACGUCACAGAGGGUGAGAAUCCCGUACGUGGUCGCUAGCCUUUACCGAGUUCAGCCCCUUCGACGAGUCGAGUGGGUUGGGAAUGCAGCUCUGAAUGGGAGGUAAAUUUCUUCUUAAGCUAAAUACUGACCCCAGACCGAUAGCGCACAAGUGGAGUGAUCAAAAGAUGAAAAGCACUUUGGAAAGAGAGUUAAAAAGCACAUGAAAUUGUUGAAAGGGAAGGGCUUGCAACCUGACUUGCCUGUAUUUGCUCAUCCGGGUUUCUACCCGGUGCACUCUUCUACGGGCAGGCCAGCAUCAGUUUGGGCGGUAGGAUAAAGGUCUCUGUCAUGUACCUCCCUUCGGGGAGAUCUUAUAGGGGAGACCACGUGCAACCAUGCUGGACUGACGUCCGCGCGUCUGCUAGGAUGCUGGCGUAAUGGAUGUAAGCGGACCUUCUUGAAACACAGACCAAGGAG